rnacentral:rRNA from 1 species
UACGUAUGGUGCAAGCGUUAUCCGGAUUUACUGGGUGUAAAGGGAGCGUAGGCGGCGCGUUAAGUCUGAUGUGAAAACCCGAGGCUCAACCACGGGAGUGCAUUGGAAACUGGCGUGCUGGAGUGCCGGAGAGGUAAGCGGAAUUCCUAGUGUAGCGGUGAAAUGCGUAGAUAUUAGGAGGAACACCAGUGGCGAAGGCGGCUUACUGGACGGCAACUGACGCUGAGGCUCGAAAGCGUGGAGAGCAAACAGG